GGGGGAUAUUGCGCAAUGGGCGAAAGCCUGACGCAGCGACGCCGCGUGGGUGAUGAAGGCCUUCGGGUCGUAAAGCCCUGUCGCGGGGAACGAAACGGUCUCGACCUAACCCGUCGAGUCCCUGACGGUACCCCUAAAGGAAGCACCGGCUAACUCCGUGCCAGCAGCCGCGGUAAUACGGAGGGUGCAAGCGUUGUUCGGAAUCACUGGGCGUAAAGGGCGUGUAGGCGGUCCGCUAAGUCUGAUGUGAAAGCCCGGGGCUCACCCCCGGAAGGGCAUUGGAAACUGGCGGACUCGAGUCCCGGAGAGGAAGGUGGAAUUCCUGGUGUAGCGGUGAAAUGCGUAGAUAUCAGGAGGAAUACCGGUGGCGAAGGCGGCCUUCUGGACGGUGACUGACGCUGAGACGCGAAAGCGUGGGGAGCAAAC
rnacentral:rRNA from 1 species